rnacentral:lncRNA from 1 species
CUUGAUUUUGAUGAUAACAAAACAAGGUUUAGAACUAAUGAUCAUAUUUCAAGUGUGAUUAGGCAAGACGAUUUCCAAAGUGGCAAUCACAAAGACAAAUCAAGCCAAAUGAGAAAUCAUGAAGAAGAAGACCACCUCAAAGAGAAGAGUUCUUCAAGACCAAAGCUUCAUAAGAUCUCUUUGUAAGGUUGUUGGUGCACUAUGACUUUUAUGC